rnacentral:rRNA from 1 species
ACCGGACCGACAGCAAUAUGAAGGCCAGGCUGAAGACUUUGCCGGAUUAGCUGAGGAGGUGGUGCAUGGCCGUCGUCAGUUCGUACUGUGAAGCAUCCUGUUAAGUCAGGCAACGAGCGACGACCCACCGCCCACAGUUGCCAGCGUACUCUCGUGGAGUGGACGGGUACACUGUGGGGACCGCCGCUGCUAAAGCGGAGGAAGGAAUGGGCAACGGUAGGUCAGUAUGCCCCGAAUAUCCCGGGCUACACGCGAGCUACAAUGGUUGGUACAAUGGGUAUCCACCCGAAAGGGGACGGGAAUCUCCUAAAACCAAUCUUAGUUCGGAUUGAGGGCUGCAACUCGCCCUCAUGAAGCUGGAAUCCGUAGUAAUCGCGUUUCAACAGAACGCGGUGAAUACGUCCCUGCUCCUU